rnacentral:rRNA from 1 species
UACGAAGGGGGCUAGCGUUGCUCGGAAUGACUGGGCGUAAAGCGCACGUAGGCGGCUUUCUAAGUCGGGGGUGAAAUCCUGGAGCUCAACUCCAGAACUGCCUUCGAUACUGGAAAGCUCGAGUCCGGGAGAGGUGAGUGGAACUGCGAGUGUAGAGGUGAAAUUCGUAGAUAUUCGCAAGAACACCAGUGGCGAAGGCGGCUCACUGGCCCGGUACUGACGCUGAGGUGCGAAAGCGUGGGGAGCAAACAGG